ACAUUUCUUGGCGAACGCCGCCAUUCAAAAUAAUUUCUGAAUAUCUCGAGAGGCUCAAACUCAUUCAAGCUGCUGAAGAUCCAGAAGAAGUGGAGAGAAUAAUCUUGUUUUUGCUGGAAUGGUUCGUUCAAAACGUAAGAGUUACAUCAGCAUCACAAGACGAGAAGGAAUGCGUAGCAGCAGCCCCGGAAGCCGGAGUCGCUGUACAUCUUUGAAGUCAGGUGGCACAAGAGGAAUUCCAGAACCAGCUGUGCAAGGUGUGCCGGUUCCACCCCUCCAGGAAGGAACGCUACCAAAACUUGUUAAAGGUGUCAUCAAUAGAUGCAGUUUUUACAUAUGGUUUUUAAUUCUUUCUUUUAGGACAAUUCUGUAAAAAAAAAAAUAUGUUUUCACAGUCCAUGUACAGGU